GUUUUGUUAUAUGAAUACAAAUAUAAGUGAUACAUGUACCAAUGAAUGGAACAGAUGCUCUGCAGGACACAGCUUUAAACGACCGCAGAGCAGAGGUCGAACCCUGAAUAGUUGGGGCUAGUAUGGACACAACAUUCAAGCUGGAUACAGCUCUGAAUUUGGAUUGUGAUUAAAUAGUUGACACAGCUUAGGUUUCUGACACAG
rnacentral:lncRNA from 1 species